rnacentral:RNase_P_RNA from 1 species
UGAGCCGGCCGGGCGGCCGCGGCGAGGAGACUCGUCGAGGAAGGUCCGGGCUCCACAGGGCAAGGUGGUGGGUAACUCCCACCCGGGGUGACCCGCGGGACAGUGCCACAGAGAACAGACCGCCACCGUGCCUGCACGGUGGUAAGGGUGAAACGGUGGUGUAAGAGACCACCAGCGCUCCGGGCGACCGGAGCGGCUCGGUAAACCCCACCUGGAGCAAGGUCAAGAAGGGAAGCUCGCUUCCCGCGUGAGCGUUCGAGGGCGGCCCGCCCGAGCUCACGGGUAGACCGCACGAGGCUGUCGGCAACGGCAGCCCUAGAUGGAUGGUCGCCGACCGUGGCGCCGCGAGGCGCGCGGAGACAGAACCCGGCCUACAGGCCGGCUCAUCCC